ensembl:lncRNA
GUUCUCUGUAUCAUCAUUCUCAUGGGGAGUCAGGCAUUAGACCAGCUGUGCUUCUCCUGCUGUCCUUUAAAUAAAGAUUGGUAUGUGUUCAUUUCCAGCUCUAGAGCUAUGUCUGUGUUGUGUCACAAUCUAUAGAACUCACAUGUAAAGCACAGUCCUUCAGAGACUAGUAACAGCUCUACAAUGUGCUUAUUCUUCCAUGGGUAAGAUACCCUCUUGUCCAUGCUAUAGGGAAAGAAAAAAGGAGAAGGAAAAUAACACUUACUGAGCUUGAUGGAUGUGUUCAAUCUGCCCUCAGCCCCACUUUCCAUCCUUCUCCACCCUGCUCCAUGGCUCACCUCCUGUGACCUUAGUGGACUUUCUUACCAAAUGGCUUCAAGCUGGGUUUGGCCAAUAGAGGACCCUGGAGGAAUUGGAAGGAGACAAGGAGAAAAGGAUGGAAGCUGCCCUAUUCAUUUCCCGAUACCUCAGAGGUUGCCAAGGGCUGACCACAUCUCUCCACAGAAGGUCUCAGCAGCUCUCUGGUAUGCCCGCUUAUCCAAUCAGCAGGAGGGGCAGGAUCACGUGGACUCCAGAUCCCAUCAGUGUGAGGAGGAAGGGAUGCUCUACCAUGAACAAAUGUGCAUAUCAGAGCACAGAUUCCUGCAUUGCCCAGCAUCUCUGAAAUUACAGGAUUCCCAGGAGGGAGGACCUGAUUGAGGUGAACGUUCACCGUCCAAAAUACAGCUUUCCCACUGAAGAGGAUGCUUCCCACAGGUCUUUUCCAGGAAGAACCCAAAGAGGGCUGCCAUUGCUCUGGGCCAUUUCCUCUCCAAUCAGCUGACGGCGGCACAGAGGUGCUGAGGGUGAAGUGCUAAUCCUAAACCUCUGUGCACAGUGAUGACUGCAACCAAGAGGCUGGAAGCCGCCACAGACAUGUUUGUUUUGAUUAGCACAAUAUCGGCUCAUACAUUAUUAUUAUUUUUAUAAUGCUCAAUCAACAGUUUUACAUAGGGAGAUUUCAUGUAAAAAUCCAGAUUUCCAGCUUCUCUUGAAAAACCAGAAUAUUAGAAAACACCAACUACAGUCAACAGGGACUGAGUAGUGGCUGACCCCUUUAAAAGGCGCCUGAGCUCUCCAGUUCACCAUAGUCCCUGAAUCUCCCUAAUGUCAACUAGCUUCACUCAUUUAUUUACGUGCCUGACUUUUGCAGGCACGUGAGUUGGCAAACACUAAAAUAAGUAAUGUGCACUUUUCUCAAAAGGGAGUUUAUGAUGUGGCAGGCACUUAAAAAGUCACUGACUAUAGGAUGUCACAAUUUUGAGUUCAGAAACUGUGCCUACUAUAAUUCCACUGCUGCUGGCAGCCCCUGGAACAACCUUAAGAUAGCCUCGGAACACAGCUAGCCAGCGUCCCUGCUAGCUGCUGCCUAAAAGGCAAGAGAUCGUUUACUCUAUCAUGAUGGCCUGACUGGGCUUGACGUGAUCAUUUAAAAAAGGAUAAAGAGGGCGGGCCGAGGGCCAAGUGAUUAAGCUCACACACUCUGCUUCGGUGGUCCAGGGUUUCGCCAGUUCAGAUCCCAGGUGCAGACAUGGCACCACUCAUUGAGCCAUGCUGAGGUUGUGUCCCACAUGCCACAACUAGAAGGACUCACAACUAAAAAUGUACAACUAUGUACCGAUGGGCUUUGGGGGAGAAAAAGGAAAAGUAAAAUCUUUAAUAAAAUAAAAAGGAUAAGGAGAGAACAAUGGCUUCUAGACGUUGGACCAAUCCCAUCCCACAUCUUAGGUCAUCCUUCUCUGCCCUAAUAAUGCCUAUUACAAAACACAGUCAUAAUAGGAUCUCCUUGGCAAGCUACCUGCUCCUUCUGGUUAUCGGCUGGCCCAGAGGAGUGGAUAUCUCAUGCUGGUAAAAUUGGGCACUCUCACUCUUUAAACUAGUAUGUUUGUGCUUUGGUGCUACAGCACCCAAACACAUUUUACAGGCCAAACUGGCGUCCACCUACCUGCCAAUCAUACGACCUUGGGAGAAGCAUUGCUACGGUGUCCUACCUUAAAGAAGAUGGUGAAGAAGGUAAAAUGGGAACAGCAGAGAAGGGACAGAAAGUAUAGUUGUUAACAGCGUGGAUGUCGAUGGUACAGCAGCUAAGGUUGUGCCAGUCCCAGAACCCCAUGACCUCAGGGGCUAUAUCCCCUGCUCACCUCUGCAUCUCCAAGUCCCAAGACAGGGCCUGACACACGGUAGACACUCAAGAAAGAAAGAAUGGAAGAAGGUCAUUGAGAGAAAGGACACAAGAAAGGUGAAAGGAAGGAAGAAUGCCGAGAGGGAAGAAGGAAUGAGAGACUGGAAGAGGAGCAAAGAAACUUGAAGAGCAUUGUCUUCACUGGUAAUAAAAAGCAGAAACCAUAUUUAUGAUAUUUAGACAUGGUUCUGUGGGGAACUGGUCUUGGCCACGCCAAGAUGUCUCUUUGGCAUGAGAAUUAUUGGGCUGGUUGCUUUUGAUAAACUGGGACAGGGAAGGAGGCUCUGAGGGGUGGAACUUGCUUGCCCUUUCUUAAGAGACAUUUACAAUGUAAAAGAAAUCUCUAUCUGUAAAGGUACCUCCAUCUCUGUACCAGGAAGAAGAAAGGGGAUGACCUUCUCUCUAGAAACUCUUAAUCAAUACCAAAGGCAAGGACUUAAAUCUGCAUAAUAAUCUUAUUCCUGUUUCUGGUAACCUCCUGUAACUGACUCCCCCCACCCGCAACAUCCUCCUUUGUCUUUAGCUGGAUAUGAUAUUUAAGUGGGGGCUUCAGCCAUUUUGGUGAGUUGCUCAGCUUGCCCAAGCCUCUCCCAUGUAUACAUGUUAUAAAGCUUUGUUUAAUUUUCUCCUGCUAUUCUGUCUCAUGUGAAUUUAAU